UACGGCCGCAAGGUUAAACUCAAAUGAAUUGACGGGCCGCACAAGCGGUGGAGCAUGUGGUUUAAUUUCGAUGCAACGCGAAGAACCUUUACCUGGUCUUUGACAUCCACGGAAGUUUUUCAGAGAUGAGAAUGUGCCUUCGGGAACCGUGAGACAGGUGCUGCAUGGCUGUCGUCAGCUCGUGUUGUGAAAUGUUGGGUUAAGUCGCGCAACGAGCGCAACCCUUAUCUUUGUUGCCAGCGGUCCGGCCGGGAACUCAAAGGAGACUGCCAGUGAUAAACUGGAGGAAGGUGGGGGAUGACGUCAAGUCAUCAUGGCCCUUACGACCAGGGCUACACACGUGCUACAAUGGCGCAUACAAAGGGAAGCGACCUCGCGAGAGCAAAGCGGACCUCAUAAAAGUGCGUCGUAGUCCGGAUUGGAGUCUGCAAACUACGAACUACCAAUAGAAAGUACGGAAAUACGACUAAGUAAAUACGUAGGAAUACAAGAAAUAGACCAACGGUAGAAAUAACGUUACCCGGGACCUUAGUAACAACAACCG
rnacentral:rRNA from 1 species